CGCAAAGGAAUCAGACCAACAUUUCAUUUCUUCUAGCUGCCAUGGACGGAUAGCAGACAGCCAAGGGACAACCGAAAGCUCUUCAACAUUUCCUCUACAAAAACCAUUCAAAUCACCACCAAAUCUUCUCAAAAUUUAGCACCACUUAGCCUAAGCCUUGGAGUUCACAUCUAGCUAAAAAGGGGAGGAUUUUCACGGCUCACUUAGGAGCAAGGAAGGACCGAAUCUCUGACUUAGACAUCAACUAAGAGUAAGUCUUAAACUAGCCUUCUAACUUUGAUUUUUGGAAGUUCUAGUAUAUCUUUUAGCUCUUGAUUUCUUAUGGGUUGUUGUGGAUGUUGGAAAAUUGGAAAAGUGGGUUCUAUGAAUUCCCACUCUUGGG
rnacentral:lncRNA from 1 species